GGCAGGAAGGGGCCGGUGCUGGGGGACCCGUCGGGUGGGGCUGUUACCUUUCCACACGGCCCGUUGGUGCAGUGCACACGGACCGCCAGCGUAUUUAACAGGCGGUCCAGUUGCUGUCUAUCCAGAGCGCCCUGGCCGGAGAUGAGCAGGCUUAGCAGGCUAUCGGGCUGGACCGCUGGUGCCGUGACCAGCAGCAUGGCCAACAGGAGCCCCUGUGUGAGCCGGGCUGGGAACACCAUGCCUCAGGCCCCCAAAGUGCUCCUUGUUGUGGUGCUGUGUGAAGACCGCUGGCGUCUGAGCUGGUUGUAGACGGCUGGGGCUGCCUGAGACCAGACUGGGGCUGGGCUCAACUUGCCCUAGCACCAGGACCUCUCCCAGAGGAACUAUGCUUGGGAUCUGGGAGAGCCGGGGUGAAGACAAUGAAGAGAAUAUUCCCAUAUGUAGCUCUGAAGAUGUCAUAUAACCAUACCGGCUUUUCAACAGAAAAGCUGGGGGCUGAGCCUGGGCUGGUCUCCUUCCCCUGCAGACUGGCUGUCCACUGUUCAAGCACCGUCAGCCUCUAGGGAGAAAUCUUAGUGUAGGCUUGGCAGUCCAGGCUUCCCUAGGUUUCUCCUUCAAAGGGGAGAAUUGCCUGAAUCCUGGAAGGCCAGUACAGCCAAGCCUCAUGCACCCGAGUCAUUGUUAUCCAUGUGUCCCGUCCAUCCAUCUGUCCACCCGUGUCCCUCCCCCUGCCACCGUGGCAUGGCUGAGGUUUUUAUUACACAGGAAUCCUACUCGCCUGUAACAGCUCUCUUAGCAACGUGGGAAUCAGAAGUGGAAAGCCAAGCCUCCUCACCAUCACCAGUCAUACAACUUUUAAGCUGACUAUACCUGUGUGUGUGUGUGUGUGUGUGUGUGUGUGUGUGUGUGUGUGUCGGCAGCUCAAAUUCAGCUGCUGUAUGUGCGCAUUCAGCUACAGUUUAGAAAAGUGCUUUAAACAGCCAUAGUGGUCUCUUAAUCCUAAUGAGCUCUGUUCAUUGUAUUUCCUUCUAAGCUAAGGAAGCAAUAAGUCUCAAAUGUUUUACAUUGGUAUGUACUUUCAAAUGAUAAAUAUGUGGUUAGAUCUGUUACAACAUACUGUCUAUGUGGUUGAACUCUGCUUUAAAAUAUAUUCUCUAUAAUGACAAAAAUUUAAGGCUAUGAAGACCUACUUCAGAUGAACAAGAGCUAACCGACAGCCUUUCCUGUAAGCUGUUCUUCACUAUUGUCUGUUUUACUGCUAAGCUUCUAUUGCAAGAACUUUUUUCUUCUCUGUCCUUCACAAGUAAAAAUCUGGGGCUGGAGAGAUAGCUCAGAGGUUAAGAGAACUGACUGCUGUUCCGGAGGUCCUGAGUUCAAUUCCCAGCAACCACAUGAUGACUCACACCCAUCUAUAAUGAGACCUGGUGCCCAGAACACUAUAUACAUAUUAAAAAAAAACAAGUAAAAAUCUGACCUGCUAAGUUAAAAUCAG